AUUGAACGCUGGCGGCAGGCCUAACACAUGCAAGUCGAGCGGAUGAAGGGAGCUUGCUCCUGGAUUCAGCGGCGGACGGGUGAGUAAUGCCUAGGAAUCUGCCUGGUAGUGGGGGAUAACGUCCGGAAACGGGCGCUAAUACCGCAUACGCCCUGAGGGAGAAAGUGGGGGAUCCUCGGACCUCACGCUAUCAGAUGAGCCUAGGUCGGAUUAGCUAGUUGGUGGGGUAAAGGCCUACCAAGGCGACGAUCCGUAACUGGUCUGAGAGGAUGAUCAGUCACACUGGAACUGAGACACGGUCCAGACUCCUACGGGAGGCAGCAGUGGGGAAUAUUGGACAAAGGGCGAAAGCCUGAUCCAGCCAUGCCGCGUGUGUGAAGAAGGUCUUCGGAUUGUAAAGCACUUUAAGUUGGGAGGAAGGGCAGUAAGUUAAUACCUUGCUGUUUUGACGUUACCAACAGAAUAAGCACCGGCUAACUUCGUG
rnacentral:rRNA from 1 species